rnacentral:rRNA from 1 species
UAGGGAAUCUUCCGCAAUGGGCGAAAGCCUGACGGAGCAAUGCCGCGUGAGUGAUGAAGGUUUUCGGAUCGUAAAGCUCUGUUGCCAGGGAAGAACGCUUGGGAGAGUAACUGCUCUCAAGGUGACGGUACCUGAGAAGAAAGCCCCGGCUAACUACGUGCCAGCAGCCGCGGUAAUACGUAGGGGGCAAGCGUUGUCCGGAAUUAUUGGGCGUAAAGCGCGCGCAGGCGGUCAUUUAAGUCUGGUGUUUAAUCCCGGGGCUCAACCCCGGAUCGCACUGGAAACUGGGUGACUUGAGUGCAGAAGAGGAGAGUGGAAUUCCACGUGUAGCGGUGAAAUGCGUAGAUAUGUGGAGGAACACCAGUGGCGAAGGCGACUCUCUGGGCUGUAACUGACGCUGAGGCGCGAAAGCGUGGGGAGCAAACAGGAUUAGAUACCCUGGUAGUCCACGCCGUAAACGAUGAGUGCUAGGUGUUAGGGGUUUCGAUACCCUUGGUGCCGAAGUUAACACAUUAAGCACUCCGCCUGGGGAGUACGGUCGCAAGACUG